rnacentral:tRNA from 1 species
GGCCAGUUAGCUCAGUCGGUUAGAGUGUGGUGCUGAUAACACCAAGGUCGCGGGUUCAAUCCCCGUUCAGCCCC